GGCGGCUAUAGUUCAGCGGCAGAACGCCUGACUGUGGCUCAGGAUGUCGCGGGUUCGAUCCCCGCUAGCCGCCCCAG
rnacentral:tRNA from 1 species